UUCCCACUUUCCCUCUCUCUCCUCCAUCUCCCUUCAGUUGCCUACACCUCCCUCCUCCUUCACCGAUUCUCUUCCUCUCUUCAACCCAGCAAUGUCGUCGCAGUCCAGCCACCACCACCGCAGCGAGCCCCUCACGUUGAUGAUCGUCCCCUCUACCGAACCCAGCCACUCAUCUCCCCGAUAUGCCCCUCACGCAGCCCACUCUCUCUCACACGGUUUCCCCACAUUGCGGCCCAGAUCCACUGCCUAUAGUUGCGCAUCACUGUCCACGUGUACUCUGGACCUCCACCUCUCGGCUAUACCUUCCUUCUUAAGCCACGCCGACCUCUCAUACCCUCUCAAGCUAUCUCUCUCCCUCUCGGGUCUCCACUGUGCAACGCCAAAUCUACCGCCUUGCGCCACCCUCUAGCCACCAAGCUGCCACACAUGCCGUGACUCCACAACCCGUUGGUAAGCAUCUACCCUUUUUCUUCUCCCUCGAAUCCUCUUUCCUGUAGCCUUAGGAAGUCUUUUGACCCCAAGAGCCUCCGCUGUCAGCAGCUUUCAGUGGUCGCACAACCACCUCUGGCCUUCCCCUUCCCACUCCCGACAUCUUUUUCCUUCGAAACAGCCUAACCUGUGAGCUAAGGCCCACAUUUGGCCACUGCCCCGCCAUGCUGCCGCCACCCUCCACCGCGAGAAUCUCUCAACCAUCCAUUAGCACCCUAGAUUUGACCUCUUUUUCAAGAAAAACCCACAAAAGGCCCUCUAUCUCGCCCGUAUCCGUUGCUGCCCCGCUUCUGCUCCGCUACUUUUGGCGUCAUCUCGGUUUUCGUGUAGUGGGGAUAUCAUGUGGGUGCAUGUGUAUCAAGACCCCAAUCCGAGAUGGGGUAUUAUCUUGGUGGAGCUGUUUUGGUCAUUCAGGGGCUUAAUAAACUGAGUGACGUCUUUUGGGUUGUCGCUGGGCGACAAAGGGCUCAGACGAGACGGUAAUGCUCUCGUGCUGACUCUGUGGCCCCUCUGCUGGCGGGAGCUAGAGGAUGCUUGGUCACAUAUGCACUGGGCGCGAAGGUGGCAUCGCUCAUUACGAAGUCAUACGUAUGGACGUUACGCGUGGUGUGAUAAAGGGAGCUAGGGUGUACGGAUAGUCCUUAGGAGAGACCAUGGUGCAUGCGUAAUAAAAAGGUUGUGUUUUGGGUCAAAUGGAUUUUUGGUGUGAGUGUUUGGUUUAAACGUGUUAUUUUGGGAAAUGCUAGAAGAAAUGAUAUUGUGGUUUUUUGUUUGUAUGGCUGUUUUACUUUGUUGUUUGUAUAAACUCAUGUUUUAAACUCUUAGUUGUUGCAUGUUAAUUACUUAUCGAGAUUGCGAAAUCUCACUGUGGUAUUUCUACCUACGGUUUCGUUUUAUUGAUCCGUAAACUUUGAUGUAGAUGAGGUGUUUGAGCUAAAUCGGCUCUGCCGAAUGAGUGAUUUGGCUAGAGAUUCCUUCUAUUUGUAUUUGUCGCGGGACUUGUUACCGUUUUAUUUAUUUUCCCACCCGGAUGACUGUAUUAACCUCUUGGAGGACUUUGUUUCGGGUUGUAAAGUUUAAAAUUUUUUGGUGCUUAACUUUGACUACCUUUUAAUUUUCUUCUGUUAUUUAUGUUGCACACAUAUUGCAUGCUUGCACACACUAGCACAUGGCGAUAGGGUGUAUGAUCCGUGUGGUCAUUAUCUCGAUGUUACGACUUCUACCAAAUCACACUUGGGGGUCGAGUAAGGGUGUUGAUCCGGACCGGUUUUUUUCCGGAUCCGGUCCGAAACCCGGAAAUCCGGGUGCAUCCGGGCGGUUAAAAAAAUCCGGAUCCGGUUACGGAUCCGGUUAUGUGACCCGGUUAUCCGUAACCGGGUCCUUUAAAACAAAAAAAAACCCGCACGUCUUCGGUCGAAAUUGUCUUCGACAUCUUGGGCUUUACUCUUUUCUUCUCGAAUCGUUAGGGUUUACUCUCUUUUCUUCUCGAAUCCGUCGUCUCUCUCGGUCUUGAAUCCGGCUUCUCUCUCGGUCUCUCAGUCUCGCUUUCUCGUCUUCUCCAAUCCCUUCUGGCCUUCUCUCUCUUCUUCUCGAAUCCGUCGUCUCUCUCGGUCUCGAAUCCGCCUUCGAAGUGCUUUGUGCAUCUGGGUGAGACACGCGAAGGCUACCAUCCAUAUUCUCUCUCUCUCUAAGCUCUUAAGUGUACUUCACAAAGCUCUCAUCCUUGACAAAGAAGGCAAGUAAUCCAAAGAGUUGCAUUAUUGACAGUGAUUCAGGUGGAGUUUUGGAUCUGUUUGUUACUAACCAUCUUGAGCUAUCUCCCUGGGAUUAUUUAUGCUGUCUAUGCCAUCACCAAGUAGUGAACUUUAUUAUUUUGAGCAAUUGCAUGGAAGGGAACAGGCCAUACAUGAGUUGGAAAGGAAGAUGGAAGAAAAAGAUUGGGAGCUGAAAUAAAUUGGAGAGCAUUUCAAUGGCCAGGGCCUUAGCAGCCCGGGCUUUUUCAUGGUGAAUUAACACCUAGGCCAAAUAAAUUAACUAUCACAAAGGAUAGUGUAUAUUAAUUAGUUGUAAUAUAUAUGCACUGCAUUUCGGUUGUUUUUAAUCCUUUCUCUACAGGAUAUUAUGUACAAAAUAUACACGUAAGCAUGAAAGUAGUGCAUAUUAUGCAGUACUUUGGCAAGAACAACAUACACACUUUGGAUGAAUGCAUUUUAGCCUGUAAGCUGAAACUCCCACAUAUUGA